AAAAUUCUAGAAUGAUGAACUAGGUUAAGUUCAUAGGCUAAAUUGAUGGAUUUGGGAUUUAUAAUGCCUAAUGUGGGAAAACUUUUGUAAUAACAUUCAAUUCUACAAAUUAAUAUCCCAAUAGAUAUAACAAACAUACUUGGACCAACUGUUUGGUGCAACAAAUACAUAUUUGCUAGAAGCCUUCAUAGUGGAUCUCACCUCAUUUUGACUUUAAUGGUUUCAUGUUAAACCUACAAGAAAACCAAAAAAAAAUAAAUCAAGACUUUAUAAAGACAAUAUACUUGCAGGAGAAACAUUAAUCAUAAUGUAUAGCGAGACAAGAAGGGUUGUAAUCUACAAUAGCUAUAGAAGCACAAGAGCUUCAACACCAAAUAAAAAGAAGUAGAAUAAAAUCUGCAAUAGAGAAGAAGAUGAUAAGCAAAACAAAGAUGACGGGAAAGAAGAAAAAUAAAAACUUUUCAAAAAUAGAAAGAAGCAAUAAUAUAGAGAAAAGAAAAAGAGGUAGAGUCACAGUAGCGAUUUCAUAUUAGAGAAAAGAAGAAGAAAGUUUGAAAUCAUGACAUGAACAAUGAAAUAAAAUAGACGAGGUACAUUAAACAUCAAUAGUAGAGAAGACGAGGAAGAAGAAGAACAAUACCAAUUUUUUAGAAAAUAGAAGUAGUGAUAACAUUAAAGAAGGUAUAAUAAUAGAGAAAUUUCAAAUAAGCGAGAUGAAGAAAAAUAAUUGAAACAAUAACAUGAUCUUUAAAAAAGUAGACCAACUAGCUUUAAAAAAUAAUUACAACAGCUAUAGAAGCAAAAGAGAAGUGAAAACAAUUAAAAUAAAGAAGAAGAAACACAUAUAUUAUAGAGAAGAAGAAGAAGAAGAAGAAGAAGAAGAAGAAAAAGAAGAAGAAGAAGAAGAAGAAGAAGAAGAAGAAGAAGAAGAAGAAGAAGAUGCUAAUGAUGAUGAGCAGUAAUAACAGGUAAGACGAAAAAAAAGAAGAAGAAGAAAUUUUGGGAAGUAGAAGCAGCAAAGAUAAUACAAAAGAAAAGAGAAAGGUAUAGUUACAAUUACAGUAGUGUUUCAGAUCAUAAAAAAAAAUUAAAAUAAUGAAUAAGAUUUAAAAUAAAUCAAACAAAUUAGCUUAAGUUAGUUAGAAUUGAAACCGUGACAUCACAUUGUCAGGUGCAAGUUACAUUUAAAUUAUUUUUUUAUAAAAAACUCGCUAAUUUGCAUCUAAUUGGUAUAUACUUUCCCAAGAAUAUAUAUAUGCUUCAACAACUCUCAAAAUUUAAUGAAGAAGAUGAUUUCAUCAGACGUAUAAAAUGUGAGAUUUGAUAUAUCCAGAGUGUAGAAGGAUCAUAUAAUGCAAAUACAAUAUCAUAAUAGCAAGAUUUUAUAAUAUCCCGUUCUACUUUCUAUGUUUAAAAAACUAAUUAGCAAGACUUACAAUUUCAAUUUACAAUCACACUUAAUCUUAAUAUUUUAAUAAAAAAUAAAAUUUAAAAUUGAAGGUAAAUUGAAGAUGAGUGUAAGUUAAACACCAAUUAGGCUGCAAUGGACAUCCAACAGUACAAUAAUUAUAAAUGAUAACUUGUAAUAGCCAAAGCUCAAAAAUUAGAAAAUCAAGUUGUAACUCAUUUUUCAUCAUAAAUAUUUAAUAAUCUAAUUAAACAAGUUUUACCAUUUUAGAUUACAAGAACAACUAAUCUUAACAUCUCCAUAAUAAAUAAUAUGAAUUUUGAAGACGAGCAUAAAUUACACUCUUCUUAGGCUACAAAUGGACAUCGAACAGUACAAUAAUUAUGCACAUAAAUAGAAAUCAUUAGUUGAUAAUGCCUAAACAAAUAGAUAACCAAGUUGUAAUAAUAUUUACCAAGUACUUUGUUGUCGUCUAAAAAAUAAUGGACUAUAUGAGAAAAAGAAAGCUUAAUUUGAAGUUUCUAUACUAAACAAAUAGAAAUAUAGAAUCAAACGGGCCAAAAAAUUUAACUAAUUCUUCAAUCCAUAUGAAAAAUCUAAACAGAGACAAACCCAAAAUAAAUUAAACACACAAUUUUUUAGUCCUACAACCCAAUCGACUCCCCCCCCCCCCCCCCCAAAACCCCCAAAAACCCACUUUUAUCUUUAACCUACAACCCACUACUCCUAAUUUCAACGUUCACACAUUAACUAUGAGUAUUUCAAAUACUUUGUACGUGCUUGCGUCAACAAGAAAGAGAGAAUUUAAGAAAAAAAUUAUCAUUGAGAAAAAUGAUGAAAGAUAUAACCUAAUUUACUUUUAAUAUUAUCUGAUAAUGUAUUGAUUUUAAAAUUAUAUAGUACUUUAGCUGGAUAAUGUAGGAGAGAGACCCAGAACAUGUAAUUUGAGAGACAAAAACCUUUCAAUUUUGGUACACCAAGAUGAAAUUAGAAAUUUUUCCGCUUAGAAAGAUGAAAUUUUUUUAGUCUAAUAUGAUUCGAGCCCUUUGUUGAAAUACUAUAGAGUGAUCUGCUGAAAUUUUAGUAUUUAGAGACCGGGUCCUUUUGCCUUUUAUUUUUUUAAAAUAAAAGUGAGCAUUAGGGACUAGAAAAUUAUUUCAUUCCUGUAAUUAUAUCACCAAGGACCUAUUUUAUACUUGUUGCAAAAUCUUGGUCCCUAAUUAUCCUUUUUCUUGUAGUGCGGCAUCAUAGAGUUAGAAUUUGAGGCUAACCACGAUUGGUCCAAAUCUACUCGAACACUAAGAUCUACCUCUUCUAUAAAACUAUAUACUUAGGGAAAAGUAUUAUACAUAACAUAGGACAUAUUGUCACGAUCUGAUUUCUAGAGUCAUGAUUGUGCCUACCUUAUUCUACCAGUAAGCAAGUCAAGCCAUAGCCCGGAAUGAUAGUUAAUGGGCUAAUGGAUGAAAAUAAAAACAAAGACUAUAAAUAAUGAUAAUAGUAGUAAUGUUAAGUGACAAACAAAAAGGAAUCAUAGAUGAUAUAUAAAAAUGAGAGAGAGAAAAGGGACAAAAUAUACAAACGAAUCCCUCCCAAGACUUAGGAAGGUCGAUACUAGACCCACUAUUAAAAGAUACCCAGUGUACUAGAAAGAAUCCAAAAUAUACACAAUAUAUACAAGUAGUCUUGAGUACAAAAUACUAAAUUGAAAAUGAUAAAGGAGGAUCAUCCUCGAACGACAGCAAGCUCACCCUAUUCCGAAUCAAUACUGAAAAAUAGAACCAUGUCAAUGCCAACUGCUAGUGCUCGGAUAUGCAUCAGAAAAAAGAUUCAGAAGUGUAGUAUGAGUACCAACACAAUGGGUACUCAGUAGGCAUUAUCGAUCGACUGAGCUCAAUAAAAAUUAUAACUAAAAUGCGAGGGUGUAAUCUAAGUCAACAGUAAACAUGGAUAGAAAGGUAAACAACUACCAAGCUACGCAAAUAUGAUAACGAAAUAAAUAUAAGUGAUAGAAAAUAAAUAAUGCAGUAAUUAUAAAAAUUUAAAUAAAAUCUAACUGGGCCUCCAUAAGAACACUAGGCACACUGAAGAAGAUAAUUAACCCAACCGUACCCUUAGAAACUGGUGGGACACACAAGAAAUAAUUAAUAAAAAUAAAUAUAAAUAAUCCAUAACUAAAUCCAUCCCUUAAAAUCAUAGUAUCCAUCCAUAUGUGCAUCAUACUUGAACCAACACCAAUGGGUAGUAACAAGAGGCUAGACGUCGGGCUUGAAUCGAUAGGGAUGGAUAAUAACAAGAGGCCAUAUGUCGAAUUAAAACCAAAAAUAGAGGGUAACAAUGAGAGGCCACAUAUAUUAUAUACAACAGAACUCAUAACGUGAUUCCAAAAUCGAACCGGAAUUCAGAGGAAUCAUAAUUCCCAGAACAACCAUAAUCAGUAUGAGAACUCCCAAAACAUUAUAACCAGAUGCCAGACUGAAAUUGGAACUCCUAGUAACCCUGUCCAACUGUAAAAUUAAUACCCUAACCAUACCAUAACCAAUUCUAAAGUGGUACCAAGACUCACAAUAACUGAUAGAAAAAAAGUAUAUGCUGAAUCUAAAUCGAAACUAAAAUAUAUUUAAAUAACCAUUCACAUAUGUUAAUUAAAAAGGGAUGAAUUCAAGGUUCCAAAACUUAAUACCAUGUCCUAAAGUGAUAGAUGUUAUAUCAUACUAAAGGAUAAGAUACUAAAAUAUACUAGAACAGGGUCAUAACCGGAUAAAUAAGGCAUGAUAUAUAUAUUAAAUAGUAUGCAAACUACAAGUACUUGUCCAAAACUAGCAUAGUAGUGCACAAUUACCGUAAAUUAGCUCAAUCUAAAAGUAGGACAAACCUAACCAACCUGGAGGCCAAAAAUAAAAACUUCUCCAAGAAUCUUUCGAAUAGUAUCCCUCUAGAAUCCGAGUUGAAUAAAUAUAGUAGUAUCUUUAAAAUUUCCUUCGUGAUUCAAGAGUUGAUAGCAAGCUUUUAAGAUAAGUUACAGGAAUAGAUUCCCUUAAAACUUAAAUAGUGAAUGAAUUGCACUGAUAUAUCAAAGUUUUCUAUUUCCUAACGUCACUAUUUGUAAUGAAAUCGCACCAUAAUAUUUAUUAUGAUUACACCUCUCACUUUGGUGACAUUUUUGAUGGAUCCCACGUCCAGAGGGUGUGGCAAUACUACCCCUUGCUCUCCGUUAAAUUCACACUCGGGUAGAUAGGUUCGUGAUAAAAUCAAUAUAAUAUUUUGAAUAUAUCAUAAUUAAUAGAAAAUUAUUUCUAAAAUCUCUAUUAUAUAAUAAUAAAAUUUUAACAUAUUUAAAUUUACUAUCUCCUUUUAAAAUAUUAAUAGACCAUAAAAGCUAUUAUAAAGUCAUAUAAAUAUAACAUUAAUUAAAGAAUUUUAUCAAAAUAAAAAAUAUUUUAGAAGGGUAAUAAAUUAUAUUUUUACUAAAUGCCAAUUUAAAUUAAGUAUUCUACAAUAUAUUUGGUAUCACUAAAAUUCUCAAAUGAACCGCGUGAAAUCAAACUAUUAGUUCCAACAAGUCAUAAAUAACUCGGGACAGUUAUAAGAAAUCUCUACACACCAAAAAUAUAUAAAAAUAAGAAAAAUGACCAUAAAGAUAAUUACAUAUACCCGACAUUCACGUUUCGCAACCAUGCAUAAUCACCAUUAUCAAAAGAGCCGAUCCACUCAAGGAACAAAUAUCAACAUAAAAUAUUAUUGAAAUUUAAUUCAUGUGAAUGAAUGUAUAUAUGCAAGAUGUGUGCAUCAUAUCUUUCUCUUUCGAAUCUCAUCAACAUAAUUUUUCACAUCCUGAACAUCAUGAUCAAUAUCGAAUAAUCUAUUGGGUUCUAAGUGAUGAAAAUUGAAUGGAAAAUAGAGAAACAAAUAAAUAGGGAGAAAAGAGCAAAUUGUCCUUUCGCCUUUAAAGAAGAGUAUCUCUCUCACAUUGGUGUGAGAAAGUGAAAUUAUUAUGAUUAAG
rnacentral:lncRNA from 1 species